GUAGGUUCACUCUGGGAGCAGGUGGGUGGCUGCUCUGGUGCUGGGUGCCUCAGGUCAUCACUUUGCAGGGACUCACGGUGCUUUGCAACCCUAUCAGCCAUCCAGCAGAAUUCAGCAAGCUGUCCUAAAAUCUCCAUCUGUGCUGCAGCAUGCUUUGGUGAGAUCCCAACACAGCAAACCUUUUGUGAAUGGACUUUGUGAUGAUGUGAGUUGGUGCCAGAGACUGGUUGGUAACUGCUGCCUUCUACUGCUCUGAUGUGGAUUCCACAGCAAGGAGUGGGCUGUUUCCUACAGUGCCCUAAUCUGUCAAUUGAGGAGCAGCAGCAUUUGCUGGAGUGUUUCUGAGAAGUAUGGAGGCAAUGUCAGUAUGGAGCAGAGAGGUUCCUCAGGUCUGGGCCAGGUGCUGCAUGUCCCAGGCGUUCCCCUCACCAUGGCCACAAAGCCCUGAGUGAUCCUUGGCUUGAACCACUUGGUUUUGAAGCCAAGUUUGGGUCCCAUCAAUAGGAAAACUCCUGGAAACACCUUCCUGAUCUAGUUUGCUGUUGGAGCCAUCGAGAGCUUUCUCUUCCAAGAUGAAAGUGGGAUAAAAGCAGCUUCAGGACACAUCUCAGCAUGGAUGGCAAGAGGCAGUUGUACCGGAGUGGUUCUUCACUUUGUGCACAGCCAGGUGAAACACAAACAGUGACAAAUUGAUGAUGGAGUAGAACACAUUAGCGUGAAAAUCCUCAGAUGUCUCAUAAGGUAUCUCCUCUGAGUCUGCUGAAGUGAUAACACUACUGCAAGUGGCUUCUCCGGAAAGGAAGUAGUCCCUUGUUGGCUAUCGGUUUGAUUGGAUUGCGGUGAAGCUUCGCAUCAGUCCUGAAAUACAAUCUGUAGAGCCAGCAGAAGUGUGCUGGGAGACCAGGAGUGGAUGGCGGUGCAGACUGUCUUUGCCUGGCAGCACGGGGUGAGCCAGGGGCUGGCACUGAGCAGGGCAGCAGGUGGAAGGCUGUAAGGAGUGUGCUCUGGGUGGGCUGAGAAACCCAAAAGGAAAACAUCUCUAGUUCUCUCCUUGCCACCUAGUGUCCGUUUGUGUUAAAGAUUCUGGUUCAUCCCUGGGAUUAAAGCAGUAUUUGUGCCUC
rnacentral:lncRNA from 7 species